rnacentral:rRNA from 1 species
GACGUAGGGCGCGAGCGUUGUCCGGAUUUAUUGGGCGUAAAGAGCUCGUAGGCGGCUUGUCGCGUCGAAUGUGAAAACUCGGGGCUCAACUCCGAGCUUGCAUUCGAUACGGGCAGGCUAGAGUUCGGUAGGGGAGACUGGAAUUCCUGGUGUAGCGGUGAAAUGCGUAGAUAUCUGGAGGAACACCGGUGGCGAAGGCGGCAUCCUGGACCAAUUCUGACGCUGAGGAGCGAAAGCCAGGGGAGCAAACGGG